rnacentral:rRNA from 1 species
ACGAACGCUGGCGGCAUGCCUCACACCUGCAAGUCGAACGCGACCUUCGGGUCUAGUGGCGCACGGGUGCGUAACGCGUGGGAACCUGCCCUUAGGUUCGGAAUAACUCCCCGAAAGGGGUGCUAAUACCGGAUAAUGUCUUCGGACCAAAGAUUUAUCGCCUUUGGAUGGGCCCGCGUUGGAUUAGCUAGUUGGUAGGGUAAAAGCCUACCAAGGCGACGAUCCAUAGCUGGUCUGAGAGGAUGAUCAGCCACACUGGGACUGAGACACGGCCCAGACUCCUACGGGAGGCAGCAGUGGGGAAUAUUGGACAAUGGGCGAAAGCCUGAUCCAGCAAUGCCGCGUGAGUGAUGAAGGCCUUAGGGUUGUAAAGCUCUUUUAACCGGGAUGAUAAUGACAGUACCGGGAGAAUAAGCUCCGGCUAACUCCGUG